AAAGGGCUUGGUGGUUGGUAUUCAAGGUCCUAAGUUUGAAUCCUUGUUGAUUCAUAUUUUCAGCUAAACUUAUUUCUAAAUGAAAUAAACGAAGCGGAUAGCGUGCUACCUAUCUGUAACAUACCGGACUUCUAAAGUUAUGAAGUCACAGUGUAUGCUGGGUUGGAAAACUAUUUGAAUGAUUCCGGUGAGGUUCGGUGAAGUUCGGAAGCUUUCGGGCGUUUCGGUGCGCGUAGGUGCGAAAACGGAACCCGAAAGGCUAUGUUGGGCCGUAAGCUAAGUUCGGCAUUAGCGUGGAUAAAAAGAUGAUGGAGACAUGUUCGAAAAUAUGUUUGGAGAAUGUAACAUAUUGGAACCCAUAAGGAAUUAGCGAACUUUAGCCAAAUCGACUAAAGUA
rnacentral:lncRNA from 1 species